CCCUCUCUUUCCCCCUCAAACCCUAACACCUUCUUCACCAUCUUUCUCCCUCAUAUCUAUGGCCACCAUCACCUCCAAUGAAAAAACUAAUUCCAUCUUCGUAUUCUUCAUCCCACGGGCUUUCUAAUGAACCGGUUGGCGUAGACCCAAGGCCAGUCAUGAGGGAAACAUAUAACAUGUUUAAAGAUGGUGGAGAUCCUAAAAACCUUGUAUCUGCAAUCUCUAAUAGCAGAGAAAAAGAAAUUUUUUUAUGCUUCACUAUAUGCCGG